rnacentral:ncRNA from 1 species
UCCAUCGUGAGGUGGAAUCUGAAGGAAAUUGGCGGCAAAGUUCUGGUUUGAGGAACACGAACUACAUAUAAGGCAUAUUCUGCAUCCACACCGAACUGGUAGAUAUUGUAGGUGGUUUUAGUUGUUGAUUACGCAUGUCAUCUUU